AAUUAAGCAUAUCAAUAAGCGGAGGAAAAGAAACCAACAGGGAUUGCCUCAGUAACGGCGAGUGAAGUGGCAACAGCUCAAAUUUGAAAUCUGGUUCCUCUGGGGCCCGAGUUGUAAUUUGUAGAGGAUGUCUUCGGGUUUGGCCCCGGCCUAAAUUCCUUGGAACAGGAUGUCAUAGAGGGUGAGAAUCCCGUAUGUGGCUGGAGGUCUAUACCCAUGUGAAGUUCCUUCGACGAGUCGAGUUGUUUGGGAAUGCAGCUCAAAAUGGGUGGUAAGUUUCAUCUAAAGCUAAAUACUGGCGGGAGACCGAUAGCGCACAAGUAGAGUGAUCGAAAGAUGAAAAGCACUUUGGAAAGAGAGUUAAAAAGUACGUGAAAUUGUUGAAAGGGAAGCGCUUGCGACCAGACUUGCCCUUAGUUGAUCAACCGGUGUUCUUCACCGGUGCACUCGGCUAAGGUCAGGCCAGCAUUGGUUUAGGCGGUUGGAAAAAGAUCAUAGGAAUGUGGCUCCCUCUGGGGAGUGUUAUAGCCUGUGGUGUCAUGCAACCAGUUUAGACCGAGGACCGCGCCUUUGUGCUAGGAUGCUGGCGUAAUGGUUGUAAGCGACCCGUCUUGAAACACGGACCAAGGAGUCUAACAUCUAUGCGAGUGUUUGGGUGUUAAACCCAUGCGCGUAAUGAAAGUGAACGGAGGUGGGAACCCUUAAGGGUGCACCAUCGACCGAUCCUGAUGUCUUCGGAUGGAUUUGAGUAAGAGCAUAGCUGUUGGGACCCGAAAGAUGGUGAACUAUGCCUGAAUAGGGUGAAGCCAGAGGAAACUCUGGUGGAGGCUCGCAGCGGUUCUGACGUGCAAAUCGAUCGUCAAAUUUGGGUAUAGGGGCGAAAGACUAAUCGAACCAUCUAGUAACUGGUUCCUGCCGAAGUUUCCC
rnacentral:rRNA from 1 species